GUGCCGUCUGGCCAGACUAAGGUCUGUUUUACUUUCCAACUUGUCCGCAGUCAGUUCCUCGGAGCAUUUGGUAGGGCCCUUGGUCUUACAUUUUGGAGGCACCGCUGGGAUCCCUGAGGAGCGUUUGGUAAGGCCCCUGGUCUUACAAUGGUAAAUUCCAGCCCAGCCUGGGCUACACAGGGAGUUCAAGGCAAGACUGUACCACAGAGCAAGACUCUGUCUCAAAACAAACAGGCCAGGCACAGUGGAAUGAGCCUGUAAUAGCAGCAUUCAAGAGGCUGAUGCAGGAUUACCAUGAGUUCGAGGCCAAUCUGGGCUACUUAGUGAGUUCAAGGGCAGCCUGAACUACAUGGUUGGCCUCAAACUCCUGUGCUCAAGCGAUCCUCCUACCUCAGCCUUCUGAGCAGCUGGAACUACGGGUACGUGUCACUCCACAAGCCACCAGCAACUCUGGGUCAGUUAUCAUCCAAGCCAAGUGGCACAUACAAUAGGUGCCUAAGGAUGGUUUGUGUUUUGUUUUGCAGUGCUAGGGAUUGACCCGGGUCCUGUGCUAGGCAAGUGCUCUACCUUCUGAGCUAUGUUUCCAGCCCACUAGUGAUGCUUCUGAACAAGAAAUCAAGGUCACCCCAGUGGCCAGGUGUGGCGAUGCACACCUGUAAUCCCAGCACUCAAGAGGCUGAGGUAGGUGGAUUGCCAGGAGUUUGAGGCCAGCCUGGGCUACAUAAUGAGUUCCAGGACAGCCUAAACUGCAUAGUGAGACCCUGUCUCAAAAAAUUGAAAAACUUCAUUUUUAAACUAUUUCUUUCCUUUGAGAUAGGGUCCCACUGUGUAGUCAAGGCUGGUCCUGAACUCAAUAUGUAGCCCAGGCUGACCUCGAACUCACAGCAAUCCUCCUGCCUCAGCCUCCUGAGUGCUGGGAUUACAGGCGUGUAACACCCCAGGCAGCAAAUUUUAAAAAAAGAAAAAUUUAAACCCAGAAAGCUAGGUGUGAAGACAGUCUGUCCCUCCACAGCCAUAUGUCCUUUAGCAGUGGACACAGCCUUCCAGAGGGUCAGUUUUUGUGAAGUAAACAGCACAAAGAUAUUUCCCUGGCUUUUUCUCUGGGUAAGGUAGGGAUAAAGUACAUGCAGAGUCCUGUCCCCUCUGAGUCCCUGAGAAACACCAGCACUUGCAUCACGACCUCCUUGCUCCAAAUGGUCACAACUAUUACAACCACC
rnacentral:lncRNA from 1 species